rnacentral:rRNA from 1 species
AACGAACGCUGGCGGCAGGCCUAACACAUGCAAGUCGAACGCCGUAGCAAUACGGAGUGGCAGACGGGUGAGUAACACGUGGGAACGUACCCUUCGGUUCGGAAUAACUCAGGGAAACUUGAGCUAAUACCGGAUACGUCCGAGAGGAGAAAGAUUUAUCGCCGAGGGAUCGGCCCGCGUCUGAUUAGCUUGUUGGUGAGGUAACGGCUCACCAAGGCGACGAUCAGUAGCUGGCUGAGAGGAUGAUCAGCCACAUUGGGACUGAGACACGGCCCAAACUCCUACGGGAGGCAGCAGUGGGGAAUAUUGGACAAUGGGCGCAAGCCUGAUCCAGCCAUGCCGCGUGAGUGAUGAAGGCCCUAGGGUU